rnacentral:rRNA from 1 species
UACGUAGGGGGCAAGCGUUGUCCGGAUUUAUUGGGCGUAAAGAGCGUGUAGGCGGUUCGGUAGGUCCGUUGUGAAAACUCGAGGCUCAACCUCGAGACGCCGAUGGAAACCAUCGAACUAGAGUCCGGAAGAGGAGAGUGGAAUUCCUGGUGUAGCGGUGAAAUGCGCAGAUAUCGGGAGGAACACCAAUGGCGAAGGCAGCUCGCUGGGACGUGACUGACGCUGAGACGCGAAAGCGUGGGGAGCAAACAGG